rnacentral:rRNA from 1 species
UACGUAGGGUGCAAGCGUUGUCCGGAAUUAUUGGGCGUAAAGGGCUCGUAGGCGGUCCGUCACGUCGGGAGUGAAAACUUGGGGCUUAACCCCAAGCCUGCUUCCGAUACGGGCGGACUAGAGGUAGGCAGGGGAGAACGGAAUUCCUGGUGUAGCGGUGAAAUGCGCAGAUAUCGUAAGGAAGACCAGUGGCGAAGGCGGGUCUCUGGACAGUUCCUGACGCUGAGGCACGAAGGUCAGGGGAGCGAAACGGGG